UGCUGAAAACACCAGUUCUCAUUCAAUCACCAAAGUUAAGCAGCAUUGAGCCUGGUCAGUAGUUAGAUGAGGGACUACUUGAGGACACCAGUUAGU